rnacentral:misc_RNA from 1 species
UUUGCGUAGGUGAACCUGCGGAAGGAUCAUUAUUGUAUAACCGAGGUGCGAGGGCUGUCGCUGACCCGAAAGGUCGUGCACGCCCGAGUGCCCUCACACACAUCCAUCUCACCCCUAUGUGCACCACCGCGUGGGUCCCCCUUUGGCUUGUUCGGAGGGGGGCUUACGUUUUCACACAAACUUUGUAUGCAGUGUAGAAUGUAUUUUUUGUUUUUGCGAUCACGCAAUCAAUACAACUUUCAACAACGGAUCUCUUGGCUCUC